rnacentral:rRNA from 1 species
GGUAGUCCAUGCCGUAAACGUUGGGCACUAGGUGUGGGGGACAUUCCACGUUUUCCGCGCCGUAGCUAACGCAUUAAGUGCCCCGCCUGGGGAGUACGGCCGCAAGGCUAAAACUCAAAGGAAUUGACGGGGGCCCGCACAAGCGGCGGAGCAUGCGGAUUAAUUCGAUGCAACGCGAAGAACCUUACCAAGGCUUGACAUGGACCGGAUCGCCGCAGAAAUGUGGUUUCUCCUUUGGGGGCCGGUUCACAGGUGGUGCAUGGUUGUCGUCAGCUCGUGUCGUGAGAUGUUGGGUUAAG